rnacentral:rRNA from 1 species
GGUAAGCUGCUAGAUGGAUGACUAGGUUCGAAACGCUGAUGAAGGACGUGACAAGCAACGAUAUGCCUCGGCGAGCUGAAUGUAGGCUUAGAACCGAGGAUUUCUGAAUGAGACUUCUCAUUAGGGCCCUUCGGGGUCAGGGAACGCAGGGAAUUGAAGCGUCUUAGUACCUGCAGGAAAAGAAAUCAACCGAGAUGCCGUGAGUAAGAGCGACCGAAAGCGGCACAGUUCAAACUGAAUCCGUCACAGUAAUGUGACGGAAAUGUAGUGUUGUAGACUCUUUUUUAAGCCUUUUUUCUGAUUUGAAGUUUCCUGGAACGGAGCACGCAACAGGGUGAUAGUCCCGUAAAAGAAAGAAAGAAGGUUGUAAGAGUAUCUCGAGUACCGCCCCUUGGAAAUGUGGCGGGAAGCUGGGGGACAUUAACCUCUAAAACUAAAUACGUUUCGAGUCCGAUAGCAAACAAGUACCGUGAGGGAAAGUUGAAAAGAACCCUUGACAGGGAAUUAAAAGCAUCUGAAAUCUAGUAGCGAUAGUAUGUCAGGGCUCUACGGAGUUCUGACGUGCGUUUUGAAUAACGUGCCAGGGAGUGUGUCUAAGUGGCAAGGAUAACCUUAAUAGGGCAUCCAAAGCGAAAGCAAGAUCCCGCAGUUUACGAGGGGAGCGGUAUGAAAGUGCCGUAAGUCACUUGGACACGACCUGAAACCGAGCGAACUACUCCUGGACAAGGUGAAGCGGAGGUAAAACUCUGUGGAGGCCUGAAGAGGUUCUACGUGCAAGUGUUCUUCUGAUUUGGGAGUAGGGGUGAAAAGCCAAUCGAGCUCGGCCAUAGCAGGUUCCUGUCGAAAUUGACCUUAGUCAAGUCUCGGACGAGGUAGUUAUGGUUGUAGAGAUACGGAUAGAAGACUUAGGCGGGGAAACUUGUCGGUUUUCUGUCCAACUCCGAAUGCUGUAACGCUGUAGACUCUGGGAAGCAGGGAGCCACGGGGUAAACUUGGCUUCCGAAAGGGCAACAACCCAAACUAUGGUUAAGGCCCCAAAGUAGUGACUCAGUGAUAGUGGGUAAACGGUGUCCGUGAUCUUAGACAGCGAGGAGGUUGGCUUAGAAGCAGCCACCCUUUAAAAAGUGCGUAACAGCUUACUCGUUGAGGUCGUGGGCCCGGAAGAUUGACGGGUCUAAGUCACUCGCCGACACCAUAGAUUAUGAAAAUAAGCGUAGACAGGCGUUCUGUUAGGGUAGAAGCUUCUCCGUAAGGAGAGGUCGACCUGAUAGAAAUGAAUAUCCUGGCGGUAGUAAGAUCAUAGCAGAGUGUAAAUCUCUGCCGUCGUAAGGGCAAGGGUUCCUUGGCAAUGUUCGUCAGCCAAGGGUUAGUCGGUCCUAACCAGACUCAUAAUCGAGUAAUGGGAAAGGGAAAGCGGUUAAUAUUCCGCUACUGCUCUCGUAUGUGCGGCAACGCAAGCCUUGUUUCUGAUGCUUUGGAAUAGACCAACACUGCUCGUCUGCAGUGCUAAUAGAGAUAAAUCGUGGGAGAAUCAUAAUGAUGAGAACACGACUAAACUCUAGAAUGGCAGGCCUAUGGUCUGUUUGGUUGAUUUCUUGAGUCCUUGAAAAGGAAACGAGGAAAAAUCUGGAGCAACCGUACCCAGAACCGGCACAGGUGCCCCUAGGUGAGAAGCCUAAGAUGUGUGAGUGUAAACUAGUUCAGGGAAUUCGGCAAAUUAGUCCCAUAUCUUCGGUAUAAGGGAUCCCUGUGAUUGUUUUCGAAUGAUUGCGAUCGCAGGGCACAGUAACAAAGGUGGUCCGACUGUUUAACAAAAACUUAGCUUUCUGCAACGUGGAAACGCCGUGUAUAGAAAGCGAUACCUGCCCAGUGCCAGUACUUUAAGCUUCGUUUCAACGGAGUGAAGAGCUGGUAAACGGCGGGAGUAACUAUAACUCUCUUAAGGUAGCGUAAUACCUUGCCGGUUGAAUGCCGGCUUGCAUGAAUGGUAUAACGAGAUCGCCACUGUCCCGAACUAGUGUCUCCCGAAAACUCCUUCCUGGUGUAAAGGCCAGGGAUUUCCAGUGGGAAGCGAAGACCCCGUGAAACUUUACUGUAGCCUGUCGCUGUGAUACGGUUUGUGGUAUAUAGCGUAAGUGGGAGCUGUUUGAAGCCGUGAGCGUCAGCAUGCGGCUUAGGCACCAAUGUAACACCACUUAUCAUGGACUGUGUCACUCACCUCGCAAGAGGGACACCGAUUGGUGGACAGUUUGGCUGGGGUGGCACGCUGUCGAAAAGAUAUCGAUAGCGCCCAAUGGUAGACUCAUUCGGUUUAGAAAUCCGAAGUGGAGUGUAAGGGCAUAAGUCUGCCUGAUUGAAUCUUAACCAUAACAACAUUCAAACGCGAAAGCGUGGCCUAGCGAACUCCCGUGCCUUCUUGAUGAGGGCCGGGAAUGACUGAAAAGUUACUCCGGGGAUAACUGGGUUGUCGCGCCCGAGAGUUCAUUCUUGUGUUGGACAACUAACGCAAGUGAAUAUAUCGACGGCGCGGUUUGCUACUUCGAUGUCGGCUCUUCCUAUCCUGGUGGUGCAGAAGCUACCAAGGGUGGGGGUGUUCACCCAUUAAAAGGGAUCGUGAGCUGGGUUCAGAACGCUGUGAGGCAGUUUGUUUGAUAUCUUCUGGAUGUGUUGGGUGUCUGAAUGGAAGGAUCUUUUAGUACGAGAGGAACGAAGGUUCGUUGCCUCUGGUCUACCGGUUGUCUGACAAGGCAUGCCGGGCAGCUACGCAAUAGGCGAUAAGUACUGAACGCAUCUAAGUACGAAGCGCUCCGUGAAAAGAGACACCUUAGGACACGGCUAGAACAGCCGUUUGAUAGAAGCGAUGUGUACGCACGAAGGCAACGACGUGUUCAGCAUGCGCUUACUAACGUCCGCAAUUAUGCU